rnacentral:rRNA from 1 species
AGAGUUUGAUCCUGGCUCAGGAUGAACGCUAGCUACAGGCUUAACACAUGCAAGUCGAGGGGCAUCAUGGAGUUUGCUUGCAGACUCUGAUGGCGACCGGCGCACGGGUGAGUAACGCGUAUCCAACCUACCCUAUACUAGAGAAUAGCCCGGCGAAAGUCGGAUUAAUACUCUAUGUUGUAUUUAGAGGACAUCUGAAGAAUACCAAAGGUUUACCGGUAUAGGAUGGGGAUGCGUCUGAUUAGGUUGUUGGCGGGGUAACGGCCCACCAAGCCGACGAUCAGUAGGGGUUCUGAGAGGAAGGUCCCCCACAUUGGAACUGAGACACGGUCCAAACUCCUACGGGAGGCAGCAGUGAGGAAUAUUGGUCAAUGGGCGAGAGCCUGAACCAGCCAAGUAGCGUGCAGGAUGACGGCCCUAUGGGUUGUAAACUGCUUUUAUGCGGGGAUAAAGUUACUACGUGUAGUGUUUUGUAGGUACCGCAUGAAUAAGGACCGGCUAAUUCCGUGCCAGCAGCCGCGGUAAUACGGAAGGUCCGGGCGUUAUCCGGAUUUAUUGGGUUUAAAGGGAGCGCAGGCCGGAGGUCAAGCGUGACGUGAAAUGUAGCCGCUCAACGGCUGAACUGCGUCGCGAACUGGCUUUCUUGAGUGAGUUCGAUGUGGGCGGAAUUCGUGGUGUAGCGGUGAAAUGCUUAGAUAUCACGAAGAACUCCGAUUGCGAAGGCAGCCCACAAGGCCUUUACUGACGCUAAAGCUCGAAGGUGCGGGUAUCGAACAGGAUUAGAUACCCUGGUAGUCCGCACGGUAAACGAUGGAUGCCCGCUGUUUGCGAUAUACUGUGAGCGGCCAAGAGAAAUCGUUAAGCAUCCCACCUGGGGAGUACGCCGGCAACGDNAAACUCAAAGGAAUUGACGGGGGCCGCACAAGCGGAGGAACAUGUGGUUUAAUUCGAUGAUACGCGAGGAACCUUACCCGGGCUUGAACUGCAGCGGAAGGAUAGAGAGAUCUUGAUCCUUCGGGGUCGCUGUGGAGGUGCUGCAUGUUGUCGUCAGCU